rnacentral:rRNA from 1 species
AUACGUAGGUGGCAAGCGUUGUCCGGAAUUAUUGGGCGUAAAGCGCAUGUAGGCGGUAAUUUAAGUCUGUCGUGAAACUGCGGGGCUCAGCCCCGUAUGGCGAUGGAAACUGGGUUACUUGAGUGCAGGAGAGGAAAGGGGAACUCCCAGUGUAGCGGUGAAAUGCGUAGAUAUUGGGAAGAACACCGGUGGCGAAGGCGCCUUUCUGGACUGUGUCUGACGCUGAGAUGCGAAAGCCAGGGUAGCGAACGGGAUUAGAUACCCCGGUAGUCCUGGCCGUAAACGAUGGGUACUAGGUGUGGGAGGUAUCGACCCCUUCCGUGCCGGAGUUAACGCAAUAAGUACCCCGCCUGGGGAGUACGGCCGCAAGGCUUAAACUCAAAGGAAUUGGCGGGG